rnacentral:lncRNA from 1 species
UUUUUGGUACAUUUCAUUGGGAGGGAGAAAUUCAUUCUCCGAGCAAUGCAAUGGAGAAGAAGAUUGGCCCUUGCAUAUGUGGAAACAAAAGAUGGUUAUGCACCAGCAAUAAGGAAGGCUAGUUCUACAGAAAGAAAAGCAAAAAAGAAUCUUUGAGAGAAAAAUCUCUCUAUGGCCAAAAUGAUGUGGUAGAUGAGGAUUCCCGAUUAGUUGCUCUUUCCUCUUUCUUUCUUUUUCUCAAAUAUUCUUCUUUGUACCCCUUCCGCCCUAUGUUUAUGGAGCUUUCAAUGCCUUUCAUCAAUGACCUUCGUAAUAAAACCAACUCCCUCUUAAGAUAUUACCUUAAAAAUUAAAUGAAGACUGCCCAGCUGUUGAAACCCUUUCCAUUCCCAUCCUAGUUAGCAAAAUUAUCUUCACAAAAUUUUCCAUGUAAACUGUUCAAAACAUCCUAAAGCAGAUCUAGAACCUAGCUUUUGACUUUCAUAUCAAAACCUAUCCAGAGUACAAAAACACCUUUCUUUUCACUUUUUCGCAUGAAAGGGAUAGGAAAAAAGUCUUGCAAGGUAUCCCUUAGGCUAUCAAUAAUCAUUUAUUGAUCCUUAAACAAUGGCCUACUCAUCUGAAGCUAGAGGAUAUUGAUUUCUCUUCUUGCCCAAUGGCCUACUCAUCUGAAGCUAGAGGAUAUUGAUUUCUCUUCUUGCCCCCUUUUGGGUUCAGG